rnacentral:rRNA from 1 species
CCUACGGGAGGCAGCAGUGAGGAAUAUUGGUCAAUGGUCGGGAGACUGAACCAGCCAAGCCGCGUGAGGGAGGAAGGUACAGAGUAUCGUAAACCUCUUUUGUCAGGGAACAAAGGCGGGGACGUGUCCCCGGAUGAGUGUACCUGAAGAAAAAGCAUCGGCUAACUCCGUGCCAGCAGCCGCGGUAAUCCGGAGGCUGCGAGCGUUAUCCGGUUUUAUGGGGUUUAAGGGGUGCCCAGGCGGUCUGUUAAGUGAGCGGUCAAAGCCCGGGGCUCAACCCCGGCCCGCCGUUGAAACUGGCAGUCUCGAGUUGGAGAGAAGUAUGCGGAAUGCGCGGUGUAGCGGUGAAAUGCAUAGAUAUCGCGCAGAACUCCGAUUGCGAAGGCAGCAUGCCGGCUCCACACUGACGCUGAGGCACGAAAGCGUGGGUAUCGAACAGGAUUAGAUACCCGAGUAGUC